rnacentral:rRNA from 1 species
CCCUUAGAUGUUCUGGGCUGCACGCGCGCUACACUGAUGCACUCAACGAGUUUACGACCUUGCCCGAUAGGGUUGGGUAAUCUUUUUAAAAUGCAUCGUGAUGGGGAUAGAUUAUUGCAAUUAUUAAUCUUCAACGAGGAAUUCCUAGUAAGCGCGAGUCAUCAGCUCGUGCUGAUUACGUCCCUGCCCUUUGUACACACCGCCCGUCGCUCCUACCGAUUGAGCGCUCAGGUGAAUAAUUCGGACUGCAGCAAUGUUUGGAUCCCGAACGUUGCAGCGGAAAGUUUAGUGAACCUUAUCACUUAGAGGAAGGAGAAGUCGUAACA